GCAAAGCCAAGGUUCCUACUGAAGGCCUCAAAAUUAUCUGUCUGAAGACUACUCAUCACCAUAAGGGAGGAGGAUCUUGGUGUUUCCUGAAAGCAGAUGUGUCAAUGGGAGUUAAAUGUCACCAACUACCUUUGGCUGAUUAAACUAUGUUUUGCUACAUCUGAUACAAUUCACCUGAGUCUUGAAAGGUCCUGCUCCUCAUUGUCAAGCAUUGAAUUCUCAUCGACAUUGAAGUUAUCCACCAACAAUUUUAUCUGGUAGCACAGGCAUCCCCACUUGCCAUGGAUGAGUGGCUGAGACGCAGCUAUCAAAGGAAAUUUAUGAAGAGAUUUUGGAAUGUCUGAGGUGCCUACAUUCAGAGAAGAGACCAACAACAUAGAAUCUGGCAGAGAUUCACAAAGAAAUAAAGGAGGAUUUUCAGAUCUUCUCAUCAACUUCUUUAACAUCAGACAAUUGCUAUAGCCUUCAUUUUGUAGAACAGCAAGGGCUACACAGUGGAAUUUGAAAAGUCAAAAAAAAAAAAAAAAAGUUUAGAGUUAAUAAAUUAUUUUAUGAGGCACAUAAUGAAGCUGGGGGGCUCAUUGCGAUGAGAUGUGGAGGUUCCAUGUCAUCCCACUUCAAAAGAUUUCCUAUUGGCAUGGAUAAUGAGAAAGAAUACCACUAUGUUGCUGCUGAGGAUGAACGAUCUAUAAGAAAUAAAAACGUUGCUGGCCCAGAGCAUCAGCCAACCACUGACUGAUUGCGGGGGUAGAGAAAAC